UACGUAGGGGGCAAGCGUUGUCCGGAUUUAUUGGGCGUAAAGAGCGUGUAGGCGGCCAUUCAGGUCAGCUGUGAAAACUCGAGGCUCAACCUCGAGACGUCGGUUGAAACCGUUUGGCUAGAGUCCGGAAGGGGAGAAUGGAAUUCCCGGUGUAGCGGUGAAAUGCGCAGAUAUCGGGAGGAACACCGGUGGCGAAGGCGGUUCUCUGGGCCUUACCUGACGCUGAGGAGCGAAAGCGUGGGAGCGAACAGG
rnacentral:rRNA from 1 species